rnacentral:rRNA from 1 species
GACGAACGCUGGCGGCGUGCUUAACACAUGCAAGUCGAACGAAGAGCGACGGAAGCUUGCUUCUAUCAAUCUUAGUGGCGAACGGGUGAGUAACGCGUAAUCAACCUGCCCUUCAGAGGGGGACAACAGUUGGAAACGACUGCUAAUACCGCAUACGAUCUAACCUCGGCAUCGAGGAUAGAUGAAAGGUGGCCUCUACAUGUAAGCUAUCACUGAAGGAGGGGAUUGCGUCUGAUUAGCUAGUUGGAGGGGUAACGGCCCACCAAGGCGAUGAUCAGUAGCCGGUCUGAGAGGAUGAACGGCCACAUUGGGACUGAGACACGGCCCAGACUACUACGGGAGGCAGCAGUGGGGAAUCUUCCGCAAUGGACGAAAGUCUGACGGAGCAACGCCGCGUGAGUGAUGACGGCCGUCGGGUUGUAAAGCUCUGUUAAUCGGGACGAAAGGCCUUCUUGCGAAUAGUGAGAAGGAUUGACGGUACCGGAAUAGAAAGCCACGGCUAACUACGUG